rnacentral:tRNA from 1 species
CCAUCGGUGGUUCAGUGGUAGAAUGCUCGCAGGCGGCCCGGGUUCGAUUCCCGGCCGAUGCA